ensembl:lncRNA
UAUAACCGGUAAGUAGUAGAACCAGGAUUUGAGGCCAGAACUGCCUCCAAAACUUGAGCUCUCUACCCCUCUGCUGCACUGCCUUUCCUGCCGUGUGGUUGGCUUCCACGGGGUAAAGCCCACCACAUGUUAGGAUUUCACAUCUGAAACAAAGCAUGUACAGUUUCGCUGAAGGAUACAGACUUACGGAACAGAAGCUCAUCAACUGAGUCUCUCAGGAUCACAAUGGCAAUGUCACCCAUGGCAGGGACACGGCAGUAAAAUUCAGAACAGGGCAGUGGGAGGAUUUUAGAAUUCGCCAUGAGUCUCAAACUUUCUGAUCUCAUAAAACAGUUCAAUUUAAAAAUAGAGAUUGGGGAAUUCCCUGGAGGUCCAGUGGUUAGGACUGCAGUUUCACUGCUGAAGGCCCGGGUUUGAUCCCUAGUUGAGGAACUAGGAUCCUACAAGUCAUGUGGCGAAGUCAAAAAAAAUAAGAGAUUAACAAAGCAUUGCCAACUCUUUGUAGUUACUCUUGUUCUCAUUAAAUUUUCUGUUAUUUGUUUUAACUUUCCUUUUGCUAAAGAUUUGUUCAUUUAUUUUUGGCUGUGCUGGGUCUUCUUUGCUGCAUGCUGGCUUUCUCUCAUUGCAGUGAGCAGGGGCUACUCUCUAGUUGCAGGGCUCAGGCUUCUCAUUGCAGUGGCUUCUCUUGUUGCGGAGCACUGGCCCUAGAGUACACUGGCUUCAGUGGUUGCAGCACACAGGUUCUAGAGUGCUGACUCAGUAGUUACGGAGCACGGGCUUAGUUGCCCGGCAGCAUGUGGGAUCUUCCUGGGGCAGCGAUUGAACCAGUGUCUCCUGAAUUAGCAGGAAAAUUCUUAACCACCGAACCAUCAUUACCAAAAUCUUGGCUCCCUGUCCACCAAUGCCAAAUAGUAGGCUAGGGCCUCAAGGAUUGUGCCCCCCUCUCUUGGGAAUAAGGAGAGGUUUUUAUAUCCUCAUGAAGGUUUGGAUUUUUUUUUCUUUUGCAAAGCUUCAAAACGGUCACAGCUGGCAUCAGACAACUCAGCAACCAGGUCUGGUGUCCCUGAAAUGAUUAACCCCUGACAAUCUUUCUGAGAUGCAGAAUGUUACCAGAGAAUAUAGGGGGAGAAGAAUGCCACGUGAAGAGUAUAAUCUAUUUGGAGUCAGAGAGUAGUUAAUGAAGCUCUGUGAAGAAAAAUCUAGCUGCAAGUGUUCGUCAGCAGUAACAGCUAAAAACUAACCAAGACUGUUUAACUCUUGCGGGUCUGUGUGGCUUUAUUGUUGUUCAGUCGCUCAGUUGUGUCCAACUCUUUGCGACCCCAUGGACUGCAUCAUGCCAGACUUCCCUGUCCUUCAUUA